GCGCGGCUUAUCACCGGCAGUCUCCUUAGAGUGCCCAACUUAAUGUGGCAACUAAUGGCAAGGGUCGCGCUCGUUGCGGGACUUAACCCAACAUCUCACGACACGAGCUGACGACAGCCAUGCAGCACCUGUGUUACGGUUCCCUUUCGGGCACACCUCCAUUUCUGGAGGCUUCCGUACAUGUCAAAGGUGGGUAAGGUUUUUCGCGUUGCAUCGAAUUAAACCACAUCAUCCACCGCUUGUGCGGGUCCCCGUCAAUUCCUUUGAGUUUUAACCUUGCGGCCGUACUCCCCAGGCGGGAUGCUUAAUGCGUUAGCUGCGCCACCAACAAGCAUGCUUGCUGACGGCUAGCAUCCAUCGUUUAAGGCGUGGACUAC
rnacentral:misc_RNA from 1 species